UGCCAGUGCAAAGUGGGUGUCAUUGGC
rnacentral:piRNA from 1 species